AGAGAGAGAGAGAGAGAGAGAGAGAGAAUCCCAAGCAGGCUCUGCAUGGUCAAUACAGAGCCCAACAUGAGGCCCGAACUCACCAACCAUGAGAGCAUGACCUGAGCCAAAAUCAAGAGUCAGACGUUUAACCUACUGAGCCACCCAGAUGCCCCUCAAGUCUUUCAAAUGAAGAGGUUUGCACUUGGCUCAAAACACAUGAUUUGUGUGCACUGAGCUUUCUUUUCAGGUGGUUUUUGUACUCCACCCUCUAGCUCUGGUUGUGCAGUGCUAGGCUAGAAAUGACAUGACCAAUGAACUCACUGGGGGAAUCCUGGAACAUGUAAAUGUUCACUCGUUCAGAUGGCAGGGUUUUACAGAAAUACACGAUACAAUUAUCAUUUAACAACACUCCUCAUCCUCUAUCCAAUCCAUGGCUGUGGGCCUCCAGUGGGAAGUGCCCUUUUCAUGGAUGAGAGGGAGCUAACCCUCCCCUCAGUGGCCAUUCACUCCUGGCUAUAGAAAAGUAAAAUUCAGUUUGUUUCUAGGAUCCAUCCAUCCAUCCAUCCACCCAUCCAGCCAUCCAGCAAAUACUUACUGAGCACCUGCCAAGUGCCAACACUGUUCAAGUGCUUAGAGCACAUGAUGUGAUUGGUGAUUUACAUCCUAUCCCCUGUCUAACAAGAAUAUGAUGCUACUUACAAUAAAAACACAGAGGACAAUUAAGAUAAAGUCAGAGACAUAUCAGCAGUCAGAGUGGCAAGAGGAGAUCAUUCUAGCAGGAACCUGCAGUGAAACAGUCAUUGUACUUGAGCAUGGACGCAUUUCUGACCUUCUUGGUAGCAAGACAAAACCAAAUAAAGAAACAAAACAAAAGAAAAAUCAAGGUGGUAUAAGGGCACCUGGCUGACUCAGUGGGUAGAGCAUGUGACUCUUGAUCUUGGGAUUGAGAGUUCAAGGCCCCCAUUGGGUGUAGAGAUUACGUAAAAUUCAAAUCUUAAAAAAAAAAUCAAGGUGGAGUAUAUCAUUCUGAUAAACUGAAAGAACACAAGAAGGACAUCCUUGAGGUAUAAAGGGCAUAGACUAAGAAAACAAUCAAUUAUUUGAGCAGCGGUUUGGCAGAAAGUAGCAAAGUUGUGCUUGAGGUAUCGUUACUAUAUCGGUUUUAAAGCUAAGAAUAUAGAACCAAAUCACAAUUCAUUGAAUGCAUUUCAAAUAGAGAGCCAAACGUGGUGGUUUCUGGUAUUCUAAAUUGAUUCUGGCAUAAGCUUAAAACACUAGAGGUGUAGGUGUUCUGUAUCCAUCCCACUGUGUUUUUUUAUCCUUGACUUCCAGAAAUUUGAUUCUAACUUCUGUAAACCUUCAGUCACACAAGCACUUGGCUAAUAUUUAUUAGGAGUAAAGCCUUCUAUUGUUAGAUGGAAAUGUGCUUUUUUUCUUUGACCUGAAGGAUCUGUCUCCAGAGCCUGUCUAACCAAGGGGUGACUUUUGAAGUGAUGCCCUCAGCACUGCAGAGAGCAUCACUCCAGAGUCAUAAAUCGGUACUGUUCAUAGGGCAUCACCCCAGGAUCAGUCACAUCAAGAUUUAACAGAAGUGGAGGAAGAUGUUUUCUCUUUGGUCUCCAGUGUCCUCCUAGUGUCCUGCCUAGCCUGGUGGCUUGGACUUUCCAUGUAACAGGUUUGAGCCAUGGUUGCUUCAUGGUUGUUUCCUAGGACUCAUUCAGGAUUUUCAAUGGGGGCAGUAACACCCUUACAUCUUUAGAAAUUUGUGGGGUGCUUCUGGUUGGCAGAGUGACAAAGAUCUGUCUCGCGCUCCCAUGCAAAUGUUGACUAUCUUACCAGACCAUGUAAUUGGGGAAAAAUUACAAUUAUCUGAUAAAAUUUAACUCUUUUAUAAACACAGAGUAUACCUUCAAGGUUUUUAAUAUGUUCUGAAUUUUCCAGAUUGCGAAUUACAAUAUAUUUCGUAUAAUGAGUAAGCAUUGAAUUUCAUAGUUUUAAAAACCACUGAAUUAGAAGAUCCAACAAUUUCUAAGGUCACUUACAAAUUAAAUUGUAUAAUUCUCUUGUUCAUGUUGCAACACAUUAUUGGGUUUGUAGGAGAAUGGGGUAAGGGAAAUACAGAAUUGGUUGGUGGUGGUGGUGGUUUUGUGUUUUGGUCUGGGGACUUUAGUUUGUGAAUUUGCACAUGUAAUUUCAGGUCUGAUUUCCAGGUUAUAAUUGAGAGCUCAGAGUUCUUCUUUCAAGAUGCAAAUUAUUUGAAUUAUUUCAGCUGCAUUUUUUUCCCAUCCUCUUGAAGAGAAGUUCUGGGGCUCUUUCUGCACUGGGAUUUGAAUUCUUAGUUUUGUGUCAACUGCUAACUUGAAGAUUCUACUCUGUGACCCAUUUUGCAAAUCACUCCACAAUGAUUCACUAAAACUGUUCUUAGCUCAUGCUCUAUUUCUGCAAGACAAAGCGCCCCCAGAACCGUGAUAACAAUUCAUUUUUAAUUUGUAAAGUUGCUUGUGGUUUUUAGCGAACUUCCCAGUCAGUAAGCAGCACAGGCCCAUGGUAAACACCCAGAAAGCCAGAGAGAAUCUCAACCACCUCCUGGCGUUAGCAGGGGGAGGUACACCUUUACAGAUUCUAGUCCCCUGUAGUAGAAACCAUGCUGGAAUAUGUUUCAUAGUCUUUGAAACACGGAUAAAACAAACCUACUUCUCUUGUGGAUGUUUUGAUUGAUGCGAUGUUUUGGAGUAGAACACGGAGGUAGUAAAAGAAGUACAUGAAAUCUAUCAAAAUCAGUUUGCAUGCUCCUUGCACUGUGCUACGUGUUACUGUCUAGGAUGACAGAGUAAGAGAGGAGAGUAACAUCUGUAACCCUCACAAGGUGUCUUCGUGGCAAAGUGGAGACCCACCGAGCCUGGGGGACGAGGAGGAGCUGGUCUGAGGCAUGGAGAGGGCAUCUCUCAGGUGGGAACAGUGUAUUUACCAACCCUGAGGCGGAAAUGUGACAUUCUUCCUCCAGCAUGGGAGUCCAGCUUCUCCACAGCCUAUAAACAAAUUCCGAAGCACGAACAUGGCCUUCCUGACAUCCCCAGAUCUGGGGUAUUCCUACUUCUGCAUCCUCACUCCCACUAAGUGCUCCACUGCUCCCAUAGUGGACUCCUUCGAGACUAUUCCCUCGAGCCCAUCGGGCCCUUUUUCUUUUCUGUGCAUUGAUUGGCAUCUACUCUUCCCUCCGUCGACCAAAAUCUAAAUUACUCAGAGACAGUGAGGGAACAGUCAGCAAAGCAGGCUUGGAGCUGACUACGUGGGCGAGUAGCUCAGCUCUGCCUCUCACUAACUGCUGAGAUGCUGGACAAGUUACAUAAACCCACUGAGAUUUAACUUCCUUGUCUAUACAGAGAACGACCGUGCCUACUUCAUAGAGUAGUUGUGAGGAUUAACUGUGUUGCUACCUAUCGAGCACUUAGAUCACAGUGGCAAGCACAUAAUAAGCAGUUGAUAAAUGUUCACUGUAAUUACUAGCAGUAGUGACAGUAUCACCAUCAUCAUUUUUAAUCUUUCAAGGUCCGGCUUAAUUGCUACCCAAUUUUCCUUAUUUGCAAUCGAAGGUAAUCACUCCUUCUUCAUUAUAACACCUUUCCACUUCGUAUAUUUCUCUAUUGGGACGCUGACUUCAUGCUGGCUUGUAGUCAAGAAUCCUUUCUAGUGGUGACAUUGAGUUUUAGUGAUCCCUCACCACCCAGCAAGUAGUAUUUGGCAUGUGUUGAGAAACCCAGUAAAUAUUGUGCCACGCGGGUUUGCUUGCAAAGCAGGAAGCACAAAUUCAAGUCGAGUAGGAAGUAAGGAGAGUCAGGUGGGCAAGCACCCAAUUCUGAAAGCUUUAGCCUUCAGAAAUGUGAAAAGCACAGGAGAAUCAGAGUCAUUUCAGAAUUUGAGAAGCAUACUAACAAGCGUUUUAACAAUCUCAUGCAGAAAUUCACAGCCCCACAGCCGGAGAGAUGAAAUCUCCCAGAUCCAUUUUUCUGAGAUGCUCCUUUUUCAGUCACUCUCUCACCCACCUGACAUAUUCUUAAAUUGUAUUUAUUUUGUCCCAAGCAAAGAAGCCAGGCUCCGUUUUCAUCCAUGGGAUGCCCCAACCUCCUUUCUCCACUGCACGUUUGUAAUUUUGCAACCGUGACUGCCUUGGCUUUACAGCACUCCCCCACCUGUCCGUUUGUACGUGACAAUUAAAACAUAAAACCAACCAAACUGUACCAUCUCCACAUCAGUGGGGAUACAGGGCGAUCUGAGAUCAAACCCAAUUCCAGGGCAUAGCCACGUGCUCUCGGGCCAGUUGUUCAAUCUCUGCAACACCCCCCUUCCUUCUCUGCCUCCUCUGUGACGUCCUCUGUGACCCUGCUUCACAGGGUGGAUUUGGGGAUGAAAUAAAUCACCCAGGUGGAGACCUAGAGCAAUGGCUGGAACGAAGCAAGCAACGCUCAAAACAUUCCUCCCUGCAAUCCGUCCCCCACGUAGGAAACCCCCAAAGUAGGAGAAGAAGCCGUUUCUCAGGGACCGAUAGGGACAGAGGCAGCGGGGUCCCCUCCUAAACGCAGCAUGGUACUUCAAUCCGUGUAUUUCCAUUUUGUCUGUAUCCAGUCAGGCUGCAUCCUGGUGCAACUCUGGCCUCCAGACAAACACAGCUGGGUUAUGGUGUUGGGGGCAUGGGUUCAACAACAUGGGUCUCCAGGCCUUCUGUGUGCCAAGCAUAUGCCAGGUAUUAAGGAUGUACAAUAAGGAAGACCCAAUUCCUGCAUUCAAGAAGUUCACAUUCCAGCCAGAAAAUUUACUUGCAAGCAAAUAAAUUAUAACAUGGUGGGUUGAGUGUAAAGACGCCAGAAUCUAUCAACAGUAGCCAAGUUACGGAAAGAGUCCAAAUGUCCACUGAUGGAUGAAUGAAUAAAGAAGAUGUGGUGUAUAUUUACAAUGGAAUAUUACUCGGCGAUCAAAAAGAAUGAAAUCUUGCCAUUUGCAACAACACGGAUGGAACUAGCGGGUAUAAUGCUAAGCGAAAUAGUCAGAAAGAGAAAUAUCAUACGAUUCCACUCAUAUGUGCAAUUUAAGAAACAAAACAGAUGAACAUAGGGGAAGGGAAGGAAAAAUAAGAUAAAAACAGACAGGGAGGCAAACUAUAAGAGACUCUUUUUUUUGAAAGAGAGAGAGAAUGGGGAAGGGGCAGGGAGAGAAGGGGACAGAGGAUCUGCAAAUGGGCUCUGCGCUGACAGCAACUAGCCCAGUGCGGGGUUUGAACUCACAAACUAUGAGAUCAUGGCCUGAGCUGCAGUCGGACGCUUAACUGACUGAGCCACCCAGGUGCCCCAUGAGAGAGACUCUUAAAUACGGGGAACAAACUGAGGGGUGCUGGAGGGGUGCUGGGUGGGGAGCACAGGCUAAAUGGUGAUGAGCACUGGGCGCUGUGUAUAAACGAUGAAUCACUAAAUUCUACUCCUAAAGCCAUUAUUACACUACAUGUUAACUAACUUGGCUUUAAAUAAAAUUUUAAAAAUCAAAUAAAAAAAUGGAAUUCUGGAAAUGGUCCUUGAGUUAAAAAAUAAUAAUAAAGUGCAAGAAGCUACAGAGCAGGAGAAUGCUCGGAGGAAGGUGGGAUUCUCCUUAUGGAGGAAGCAGAGAUGGCUGGGGGAGGGGGGACAACCCUGUGGGCCAAACAUGUGGGGACAACCUUGCCGCGGGGACAAAACAGUCAAUGGUGUGUUGAAAUGCUUCCUGCUUUCCUUCCUCGGCCUCACAGCAAAGCUGGCCUGGCUUUUAGACCUGACAAGGGGGAGGCACGAGAAUCACGGAACUGAAGCAAACACGAGGAGGACAGGAAAGGAGACGUUCUUUGCUUGCCGGCAGGUGUCCCCGGUCCUUUCACCCGAUCCCGUGUCAUCUCUGAGCAGCUGGUCAUCAGAUCCUAGGCAGGAAAGCUCCCCCGCCCGACCGUGAUGCAGGGGACGGGGACAGUGGAAAUGCGGCAAACCGCAGGGGCGUGCGUGCGCGUGGCCGGACGGUCGGCGCUGCCGGGAUGUUCGAGGGCAACUACAGAAUGUUCUCCAAGCCCGAAAGCCACAGCCGCGCAACGGCGGGUCGUUUCGGGGGGCCUCAGCCUCCGCCGCUCUGCUGCUACCACAGCUGUUUCCUGGAAGGGCCGCAGUCUGAGAACACGGCCCCAGCACUCUGCCUGCUGGUGAAGCUCACGCUUUGGCGUCCCUCGCUCACGUGGCCCCGACCUCGUGUUGCAUUCGUUCUCUUAAAAAAGUCUCCACAAGUUGUAUGCGCUUCAAGUCCUUACGGUAGGAAGUUGCGCAUACACGGGCUUAACUCAAGAAGACGCAAAGCCCACCUGACAUGGGAGAAAGGGGAAUGAGCCUUUGUCCUGAAAGGUCGCUGCAGUUCACUGCUGAUUCCACUGGUUCUUUCUCGUUCAGUGUCAUUAAUUUAGGAAAAGUUACAAUCACCAUACUCUCUACCCACCUCACUCUCAGCACAACCUCCCCACAUGGCUGGAUGUGGAUACUCACCUACCUUGGCAUCUGCUUCAAGAGAGGAGACGGGGGGCCUGUUCUGGAGAGAAGGAAGUCAACUUUUCUUCACUUUGGAACAACUGACGCAUUUCUCUUUCCUUCCUGUCGGGCCAGUGCUGAAGCGGGGCAGCGUCUGCGCCCGCCCAGACAGCUUCUGUGGUUGCCCCCACAUCGCCAAGGACCUCAGGAGCGAGGCCACCCAAGGCCACACCCAGGGGCUCUUGUAGGCCAACAGUCCAUGGUCUUCAGCUGGAGGACAGAUGAAGCUGACGUUCCUGAAACUUUCACCCCUACCAGGGAAACCCCAAGACAGACUAGAGGCUUCAAAUAUUCAAACGUUUUCACAUUUGCAAGGGGUUUCACACUGACCUCAAGUGUAAAUGACUGAUCACAUUGUGAAGAAUGGUUACAAACGCAAGAAUAACAAGACUGGCAUAAGCUUUGGAGGGGGGAGGGUGCACCGCGGGGCGGGGGCAGGGGAUUUCACUGAGGUAUCCCAUACAAAUAGAAUACGAUAAAAUCACAAGCGGGGGGAACACACCCCUAUCAAGAAACUACAACGGCACCCCGGAAGCCCCUUUGUCUGCCCUUCCAGUUACUACCUUCUCUCCAAAGAUAACCAUUUUCCUGAUCUCUAACACCACUGAGUCGCUUUCCUGUUUUUGCACUUUGUGUCAAUGAACG